GACUUCCAGUGCCGAUGGUCCAACGACCGUCGGCUUUUCUGAAGCGUAAAAAGCUUCAGGUAAUAAUGGCCGGGUAAGACUGGUGCCAGCCGCCGCGGUAACACCAGCGGCCCAAGUGGUAACCGAUUUUAUUGGGCCUAAAGCGUCUGUAGCCGGACUGGCAAGUCCCUUGUGAAAUCGAACGGCUUAACCGUUCGGCGUGCAAGGGAAACUGUCAGUCUUGGGGUUGGCAAGCGCCAAGGGUACUCCGGCGGUAGCGGUGAAAUGCUAUAAUCCCUGGGGGACCCCCAGUGGCGAAAGCGCUUGGCGAGGCCAAACCUGACGGUGAGGGACGAAGGCCAGUGGAGCAAACCGGAUUAGAUACCCGGGUAGUCCUGGCUGUAAAGGAUGUGGGCUAGGUGCCUGACGUUCCUCGAGAACGUUAGGUGCCGAAGGGAAGCCGUUAAGCUCACCGCCUGGGAAGUACGGCCGCAAGGCUGAAACUUAAAGGAAUUGGCGGG
rnacentral:rRNA from 1 species